UGGGGAAUAUUGCACAAUGGGCGCAAGCCUGAUGCAGCCAUGCCGCGUGUGUGAAGAAGGCCUUCGGGUUGUAAAGCACUUUCAGCGGGGAGGAAGGCGUUAAGGUUAAUAACCUUGGCGAUUGACGUUACCCGCAGAAGAAGCACCGGCUAACUCCGUGCCAGCAGCCGCGGUAAUACGGAGGGUGCAAGCGUUAAUCGGAAUUACUGGGCGUAAAGCGCACGCAGGCGGUCUGUCAAGUCGGAUGUGAAAUCCCCGGGCUCAACCUGGGAACUGCAUUCGAAACUGGCAGGCUAGAGUCUUGUAGAGGGGGGUAGAAUUCCAGGUGUAGCGGUGAAAUGCGUAGAGAUCUGGAGGAAUACCGGUGGCGAAGGCGGCCCCCGGGACAAAGACUGACGCUCAGGUGCGAAAGCGUGGGGAGCAAACAGG
rnacentral:rRNA from 1 species